rnacentral:rRNA from 1 species
UACGUAGGGUGCAAGCGUUAUCCGGAAUCACUGGGCGUAAAGCGUGCGUAGGCGGCGUGUUAAGUGUGAUGUUAAAUCGUGGGGCUUAACCUGGGAAUGGCAUUGGUGACUGCACGGCUAGAGUGUGUCAGAGGGGGGUAGAAUUCCACGUGUAGCAGUGAAAUGCGUAGAGAUGUGGAGGAAUACCGAUGGCGAAGGCAGCCCCCUGGGAUAACACUGACGCUCAUGCACGAAAGCGUGGGGAGCAAACAGG